rnacentral:rRNA from 1 species
CUGCGGCAGCGAACGUAUCACUUAAAGCGAUUCAGCGGGUUACGAUUGACGGAGCGAAGCGACGUCAAAGCGUAUACAAAGUCGAGUCGGUUUAAGGAUACGUUCGUUGGGUAGGGGAGCGUUCUGUAAGCCUGCGAAGGUGGCCUGUGAGGGUUGCUGGAGGUAUCAGAAGUGCGAAUGCUGACAUAAGUAACGAUAAAGCGGGUGAAAAGCCCGCUCGCCGGAAGACCAAGGGUUCCUGUCCAACGUUAAUCGGGGCAGGGUGAGUCGACCCCUAAGGCGAGGCCGAAAGGCGUAGUCGAUGGGAAACGGGUUAAUAUUCCCGUACUUGGUGUUACUGCGAAGGGGGGACGGAGAAGGCUAUGUUGGCCGGGCGACGGUUGUCCCGGUUUAAGCGUGUAGGCUGGUUUUCCAGGCAAAUCCGGAAAAUCAAGGCUGAGGCGUGACGACGAGGCACUACGGUGCUGAAGCAACAAAUGCCCUGCUUCCAGGAAAAGCCUCUAAGCAUCAGGUAACACGAAAUCGUACCCCAAACCGACACAGGUGGUCAGGUAGAGAAUACCAAGGCGCUUGAGAGAACUCGGGUGAAGGAACUAGGCAAAAUGGUGCCGUAACUUCGGGAGAAGGCACGCUGACACGUAGGUGAAGUGAUUUACUCAUGGAGCUGAAGUCAGUCGAAGAUACCAGCUGGCUGCAACUGUUUAUUAAAAACACAGCACUGUGCAAACACGAAAGUGGACGUAUACGGUGUGACGCCUGCCCGGUGCCGGAAGGUUAAUUGAUGGGGUCAGCGCAAGCGAAGCUCCUGAUCGAAGCCCCGGUAAACGGCGGCCGUAACUAUAACGGUCCUAAGGUAGCGAAAUUCCUUGUCGGGUAAGUUCCGACCUGCACGAAUGGCGUAAUGAUGGCCAGGCUGUCUCCACCCGAGACUCAGUGAAAUUGAACUCGCUGUGAAGAUGCAGUGUACCCGCGGCAAGACGGAAAGACCCCGUGAACCUUUACUAUAGCUUGACACUGAACAUUGAGCCUUGAUGUGUAGGAUAGGUGGGAGGCUUUGAAGUGUGGACGCCAGUCUGCAUGGAGCCGACCUUGAAAUACCACCCUUUAAUGUUUGAUGUUCUAACGUGGACCCGUAAUCCGGGUUGCGGACAGUGUCUGGUGGGUAGUUUGACUGGGGCGGUCUCCUCCUAAAGAGUAACGGAGGAGCACGAAGGUUGGCUAAUCCUGGUCGGACAUCAGGAGGUUAGUGCAAUGGCAUAAGCCAGCUUGACUGCGAGCGUGACGGCGCGAGCAGGUGCGAAAGCAGGUCAUAGUGAUCCGGUGGUUCUGAAUGGAAGGGCCAUCGCUCAACGGAUAAAAGGUACUCCGGGGAUAACAGGCUGAUACCGCCCAAGAGUUCAUAUCGACGGCGGUGUUUGGCACCUCGAUGUCGGCUCAUCACAUCCUGGGGCUGAAGUAGGUCCCAAGGGUAUGGCUGUUCGCCAUUUAAAGUGGUACGCGAGCUGGGUUUAGAACGUCGUGAGACAGUUCGGUCCCUAUCUGCCGUGGGCGCUGGAGAACUGAGGGGGGCUGCUCCUAGUACGAGAGGACCGGAGUGGACGCAUCACUGGUGUUCGGGUUGUCAUGCCAAUGGCACUGCCCGGUAGCUAAAUGCGGAAGAGAUAAGUGCUGAAAGCAUCUAAGCACGAAACUUGCCCCGAGAUGAGUUCUCCCUGAGACUUAGAGUCUCCUGAAGGAACGUUGAAGACGACGACGUUGAUAGGCCGGGUGUGUAAGCGCAGCGAUGCGUUGAGCUAACCGGUACUAAUGAACCGUGAGGCUUAACCUU